GAUGCCCUGCCCGGCGCGUGAUGGGUCGUACAAGUGAGCCAACACUUCCAAAGCGGGACCCCGGCGUUCCCGUCCGGAGACCAAGCCCUUCGGGGAUGGGCGAAGGACGGGACAGGGGACCCACCUGGAGCAACUCGGUUCAGUUGCUCCGGCUCACACGACCGGGCGGGGCGUCA
rnacentral:other from 1 species